rnacentral:rRNA from 1 species
CUUUACUGUAGCCUGGCAUUGAAUUUGAGUUCAUUCUGCGCAGCAUAGGUGGGAGGCAAAGACAUUAUACUUGCGGGUAUAAAAUAGCCAUCAGUGAGAUACCACUCUGAUUGAACUAGAGUUCUAAUCUUGAUGCCGUUACCCGGCCAAGAGACAUUGUCUGGUGGGCAGUUUGACUGGGGCGGUCGCCUCCUAAAAGGUAACGGAGGCGUGCAAAGGUUUCCUCAGGCUGGUCGGAAAUCAGUCGUAGAGUGUAAAGGCAUAAGGAAGCUUGACUGCGAGACCUACAAGUCAAGCAGAGACGAAAGUCGGCCUUAGUGAUCCGACAGUACUGAGUGGAAAGGCUGUCGCUCAACGGAUAAAAGUUA